CCUACGGGUGGCAGCAGUGAGGAAUAUUGGUCAAUGGACGGAAGUCUGAACCAGCCAAGUAGCGUGCAGGAUGACGGCCCUACGGGUUGUAAACUGCUUUUAUACGGGAAUAACGCGCCUUACGUGUAGGGUUUUGCAUGUACCGUAUGAAUAAGGACCGGCUAAUUCCGUGCCAGCAGCCGCGGUAAUACGGAAGGUCCGGGCGUUAUCCGGAUUUAUUGGGUUUAAAGGGGGCGUAGGCCGCAUGUCAAGCGUGCUGUGAAAGGUCCGGGCUCAACCCGGGCCUUGCAGUGCAAACUGGCGUGCGUGAGUCGGAGGGAAGCAGGCGGAAUUCGUGGUGUAGCGGUGAAAUGCUUAGAUAUGACGAAGAACUCCGAUUGCGAAGGCAGCUUGCUGCAGCGGAACUGACGCUGAUGCUCGAAAGCGCGGGUAUCGAACAGGAUUAGAUACCCUAGUAGUC
rnacentral:rRNA from 1 species